CUUAGUCUCCUAACGGGGUUCCACUGCUCACCUCAGGGCGCAGCAGCUCAAAGCCCUUGUUUCUCAGUAGGGCGGAGAACCAGUGUCUGAUGCAUCGGACGACCUCACCCCAGGGACGUGGGAACCACACCAAUGCAGCAGCAUUUCUUACCCCACCACACACGGCAGAGGCAACACACAUGGAGGAGUCCGUGGGGCCCAGAGAGAAUGUUCCAGAAAUGAGAGUACGGUGGGAGAGGGCAGGGAUCGAGUCCCACUUGGGGAAAAGCGUCACCUGCUUACCAUAGCCAUUGUCCAGGAAGUCCGUGAUGAAGCGGGCACUGCACGGGGACCAGGGCUCCUCAGGAUCCACGUGAGCCAUGACAGGAGCCAUGACGUGGCGAGAGGAGCCCCCGUGCCCAUUCAGACUGACACAUGGCUUGGAGUUAUCGUGGAGCAUGUUGAAGACAUGGCCUGUAAGAGAAGAGGUCCCGCUAGUGCCCAAGGGUGCCAUCCUGUGUCCCCAGGGGGCAUCCAUGAUAAGCUUGGCUGCAGCUGGUGAUGAUAGGCGCCACCUCCCCUCCCCCAUCUCAGAUCCCCUGAUGGUUCUCUGAAGGGUCCAUGUGUAGCUCCUAUUGCUCUGUCUCCUCUUCCCCAAAGGAAAGGGUCCUUCUGCUCAUUUUCCAUUGUAGCUAACAUUCCCAAUCCUCAAACCCCAUUCUCUUACUCUCUCCCCUUCCAAACAUGUAUAGUCAUGCACAUAUACACAGUCCAAAGUAGUCCCCACUUGCUGCUUUAUAUAAUAGAAAGAUCUGUUUGCACCCAGAACAGAGAAGGAUAUUGACCUUGGACCUAGACCUGGGAGAAGAAAGAGGAGGAGGAGGAGGAGGAGGAGAAUACCCCCAUUUGCACUCUAGUGAGCCCCUUAUCUCCUUUAGCAUCCUCAGUACCCCUCACCGCCCCUUCAGGUGCCACACUGCCCCAGCACUACCUUACCCAGCUCGUGAGCAGCAGUGAAGGCUGACUGGAGUCCAUCGUCCUCCACGAUAGCACAGCUCCGGGCUGGAUCGCACACUGUGCCCACAUCAGCCAUGCCCAGGGUGUCACAAGUCGAGACCCCACACAGGUCCUGUAGAGAAGGGGCACAGAAGACGUUUGGGGCUGAAUACCCAGAUUAGUGAGGCCCUAGAUGCUGAGCACCCAGCAUGGUCAAGCCAACCCAUGUCACUAUGGCUGGGGCCAGGUACAUGAUGAUGCACAACUCUAGGGAUAGCCUUUCCAUCACGGUUUGUGCGUUGGCGGUGUCUCUUUGGGUUGUGGUUCUUCGCAUGUGGUGCUGACUGGGGCCUUACCUGACGGGUGAACAGAAUGGCUGUGUCAAAAUGGUCAGGAUCUGAGUCCUCAGGGGUAUUGAGGCCCCGCUGCCAGGUACAGAAGCUGCGUAGGGUCUGGGCCGCACUUGGCUCCACUUGGGGCCCUUCCUGGCCUGACCCCAGGAUCACUAGCCGAGUCACCACCAAGCUGACCGGGUUUCGGAUGCUUGGGUGCUUAAAGGCCUUGGCUGCCGCUGCCAUCACUGUCAGCAGGUAGCGCUUUAACCCUGUCCCAUGAAAUGCCGCCAUCUUGUCGUCGGCCACCACCAGUGUCUCCACGAAUCUACUCAGAGAAGCAAAGCGCUGAAGAGAAAAAAAAGAGAGAGAGGAAGGUCCUGAAAUAGCCUCCCAGAUCCAUGGAUCCCUUCUCCUCUCCCUCUCUUCCUGGGUCUAGAACUCAGCAGAGUCAGCUGGCCCUCACACACCCCACAGGAUUCCUGAAGUGACUGCUUUGGACCUCCCCCCCACCCCCCCACCCCCAAAUCCCAGGGCUUUUGUGGCAAUGUUGAAGAAUCAGCUGUUGUUCUGAAAGAGGAGAAAGCCUUGCCACGUUUCAGGGCUGAGUGGGCCCCAGAGGUGAAAAGCAGCUGGGAGUGUGCUGCGGGAGGGGCCCUAGGGUCUCGGGAGUGUGUGGCAGGGGCUGAGGGACAGAGCUAGAGGGCUGGGCUGCGACAGACAGCGAGACAGCGACGUGUCUGCCCUGUGUGGUUGGAGGAACAAUUCAGUCAGCAGCUAGGGCCACAGCCAGAUCUCAGCGUGGCGGGUGUGGAAGGAGCGUCUGGUCUGGAUUAAAGCUACAGAGAAGGGGUGGGAGAGAGAAAAAAAAAAGGGGGAGACCCAGGAGUGGGAGGGAGGGAAGGAUGGCGCCUCAGGCAGCCUUGCAGUCAGCCCACAGUGUGGGAAGAGGAUUGACCCGGAGGGAUGGGAUGCCUCUCCUCGGCCUGCCUAGCUUGCAGUUUGCCAGAACAAUUUUAAAGGCAACGGCAGAAGCCAAAAAAUCCCCAAUCCCUCAGGCCUCAAACUUCACUCCUCUAGCUGGGGGUGAGGGUAAAAAUCACUGGGGCAGAGAAAUGAGCCUAGGCCGACAGGCUGUUAGGAGAGCUGUACUGCUGGGAACUGUGUCAGCAGGAGACUCCAUGGCCAGGAAGGGGCGGGGUAGGGAGGGGGAGAGGUCAUUCCGGCCCAGAGAAUCUGACUGACUUACCUCAGGGAAUCCUCAGAGCAAAGCAAAUGGCUGGGGCAGGGAGAAGCCGACACUUUCCCAAAGUAGGGGUGGUAGAGAUAGGAAAAGGCAGAGAAGAGAAAAGCUGGAAAGGGGGAAGUGGAAGUGAGAGGAGAGAGGGCACAUAGGGGUCAGUAGGACAGACAUGGCGGGAGGGUGACACAGGACAAAAACCCCCGGGGGCUGCCUACCUUGGAUCUUCGGGGAAUGGGAUUGGGGCUCCCAGAAGGAGCCUUGACGUUGCACAUGGGACCUUGGCUGCUGGCAGGACUCUUCCGGCGUAGAAUGUGAGCCCCUGGUCCCCCAGCAGAGUUAAGGGUGCCUCCCUCCAGAGGUUGGAGGUGGAGUUCAGCCCCCCGGUACUGCAACACCCCUAGAAGGGCUCCCCCGUCCCAGUGCAGAGAUGCCACCGACUCCGGAUCUCCGUUGAUGGUGCCCGUCAGGUAGGUACCUGGCUCUGCCCCACCCAGCAUCUCAGGUGCCUGGCCCAGGUACUGCACCGUCAGCCCCUCUACCUGCACCCCGGGGUCCUGCUCUAGUUCCAGGAGUAGCACCUCCCCGAAGGCUGGCAAGCGGCACAGGAGCCUGGCAGGGGUACCGGAGCCGGGCAAGAUGCUGCCAUUGAGCUUCUCUGGGAACACGAUUUCCUCCUCCCGGGGGAGGGGGUGGGCUGACCAGGCAGAGGGCAGGAGGGAAGCCAGCAGCAGCAGCAGCAGCCGCCGCCGCCGCCACCACCACACCAGACCAGAGAAAGGCACGCUGUGAAGCUGCGAGCCGACAGGGACUCUUCGCAGCCAGUGCCCAGUCAAGCCCCUCCCGGGAUGCAAGCCCAUCUGGGACAUGGUACCGGUGCUGCAGCUGGGAUGGAUUGAGGCCAUCUGAGGCACCAGGUCCUCCACACCCUCACUGUGGAAAGCUCCUCGUUAAAGCCGGAGGGGCUCGGACUUGUGCCAAAAUCUGAGGCGAAGUUUUUAGAGGGGCUAGAGACGUUCAGAGACGAUGAAGAAAACAGCCCCUGGGCCCAGGAAAAGUGCCUAGGGGACCUCUCUCCUCCAAAACUUCCUCCUGUGCACUUCUCUCCUGGGUCUUUGUCUCUCCCUGUCUGUGUCUUCUUCAGCUUCUCUGGCUUCACCCUCUGCCCAGCUGUGUGGCUCUGUCUCAGUGCCUGCUCUGUCUCUGUCUCCUUUGGCUGUCUCUUUGUCUCUGUCUCUCUCCUCCUCGGUCUCUUUCCUUUCUGUGUAUCAGUGGGUCUCCCCCGGGUUCUCCCCAGCCUCUCUCCCCGCCAGCUCUUUUAAGCAUCCAGAGCCUCCCUCUGUGUGUGAUUGACUGUUCUGUAAGCCACUCAGCAGAAGCUCGGUCAGUGGGACUCAGAUGGAUGGAUGUAUCAUUGCUUCCCUUAAAAAAAGACAGGGAAAAAAAUAGGAGGGACUUGCCCAGGGGAAGGGAAUCUCUAGCAGCCAGAUGCAUUAUAGGCACGGAGCCAGUGGAUGACACAUCCUUUUCCCAAAUCCCACCACCAGCCCUCAGCUGUCUCUUUCCCUUUUUGGUGGGACAGAGCCCCAAGGGAAGCAGGGACUCGGGGAAAGGGCCUGGGCAACACACACGGAUGAGAUUACGUCCUGGGAGAAUUCAUGUCCCUACUGUCCAGUCUGGAACAGCCUAUCAUCAGGUGUCACUUAUGUUGCCCUCUAUCCCAGAGGCUGAUUUCUAGGGCCAAGCUGUCUGGUUUGAAAAGGAGGCGGGGAACAGGUAAGGAAGAAUGAAGAGAGAAGAGAGGAUGGGACCAUGAGGAAGGAAGGGGCAGGAGAGACAAGAGAGCAGGAGACAGCUCAGGACCUUUCUGUUGGAAUGGGAAUAAGAAAUAAACAGACGACGAAGAAGUCAGCUACUUUUCUUUUUAUAGGAGGAAGAUACAGACUAUGUCUUUUCUUCUCUCUCUCUCUCUCUCCCUCUCUCUCUCUCUGCUAUGCAUUCCUGAGUUACCCUUACCCUAUUCAAAGAAAUGAAACAGCCAUUCCAUCCUAGGCCUCCUCCUCCCCGACUUCCUGACUGCCCAUUCCCCUGGCUCAGCUCCCAGGAGCUUCCCCCAGGCUUUUGGCCCUGUUCCUACCUACUCCCAACUACCCCAGAGCCUCCCCCUUCCUCAAGUCAGCCAGCCUCUCACCUAGACAAGACCUGCUCUCUUGGGAACCAGAAUCACUCAGUCAAUCCUUGUUCCCUCGCACCCCACCUUUCGAGUCCAGUAGUUCCUGGAAUAUCUAGUAAUCGUUGACUCCUCAUUCUCCAUGGGGCAGAGUGAGAGGGUGCAAAUAGCAUUUGAGGGCACCAAGAGGAACAGGAGCCUAGAACCUGGGAUGGGGAUAGUGAUUGGUGGGUGCAUGUGUGGGGGCGUUAGAGAAGGGAGCUAAUGACUUCUCUGAUUCGGAACUGGAGGGGACUAAGGAGAUAAAAAGCAGACUCUAGAGGCAAGGAAGUAGAGUUCAGAAGUGGGGCCAUUUCUGUUCACUCCACCCUGUGGCCACUUGUUUCCCCAGGAAAUCCCCAGGAAGGAGAGUACACUCAGCGGUCCCUUCCCUUUCCCAGAGAAGCACCCCAACCCUCUCCUACCCCAUCCCCUUUAUUCAUGUUGGGCCUUGUCACCUCCUGUGCCCAAGAUCGCACUCAUCAGGGGGCUUCCUCUCCCCGUCCCUUCCUGCUCCAGUCACUAAUCCCUGCCCUGGUGCCUAUCACUUCCUCAAUUACCCACCCUGUGGUGACUCCCAGUCUCACCUCUUGACCUCAUCACAUGCCCUGACCCUCCCUGGUCCUGAGUGGAGGGGCUGAGGCUGGAGGAGCCACACAAGGGAUGAGGGACCAGAAGGGACAGGGGCAAGAGGAGCUGUCACCAGGGUAUCCUAUUGCUCCUUUCCAUCCCCCCACCCGAGAUGGGAACAAAGAGGGUGACUAAGCGGUGGAAGACAAAGGACCAUAGAAUGGCAGCCACAGCAUGUGGGGGGUGUUGGCAGAAGGGAGAAGGCACAAAAGAUGCAGUGUCCUAGGCAGCCCCCCAAGAGCCUUCCGCCCAGUCUCAGCUCAAACUGCCCCCAGGGCUAAGCAAGCUAGAGUCUAUCUUGACUUCUCCUCGUAGGCUGCACUAACACAAAAAAAAUGAGUAAUCCGCCUCCUCUCAUCAUUAACACAUUUAGCGUUUAAACUAUAUUGCAGGGAAGAAGGCCUAGGAAAGGGAGGGAUAUAUAGAGGGACCAAGCCUC